GUUGGUGUAAAAGGAAGGAAGCACAGAGAGGUGAUAGAAGGAGGAGCUGAAUAUAAACUCUGGUCUUAUCUACAUUAAGUGCAGCUUCUCUUUGUUCUGCAUUUAUUAUCAAUGCAAAGUCGAACACUUUGAGAUUAGAUGCAGAUCAGCGUGCAGGGCUGGACGUGAGGAUGGGGCACUCUUUGCUCUGUUUGCUGGGGUUAUUCUUCUGUUUCAUGUCC